GAUUUCAGCUUAUCAUUGUGACCCACACCACUUUGGCAGCUCCCUGUAUUUUGUGACCGAAAUGAGCGCCUUCUCGUCCGUCCUCGGUUCGCCAGGUGCGACUGGAGAUGUCAAGUACGUAAAGAAGAAGCUCAUUGGUACCGGCUCGUACGGUGAGGCCUGGCUGGUGGAGCGGGUUAGCGACAAGGCGAUCUUCGUUGCGAAAACAAUGGACCUCGGGAAGAUGUCAUCGCGUGAUCGUACGUACGCGUACAGCGAAAUCAAGUGUCUUGCGAGCUGCCGCCAUCCAAACAUCAUCAAGUACAUCGAAGACAAGGAAGAUAAUGAGCAUUUGCUCAUUGUAAUGGAGUUCGCCGACUCGGGUGACCUUGACCGCCAGAUCAAGGCGCGUGCGACCGACUUCAAGCACUUCCAAGAGCACGAGGCACUUUUCCUUUUUCUGCAGCUGUGUCUUGCGUUAGACCACAUCCACGGCCACAAGAUGUUGCAUCGUGACAUCAAGGGAGCCAAUGUACUCCUUACCUCAACCGGGCUGAUCAAGAUUGGCGACUUCGGGUUCAGUCACCAGUAUGAUGACACCGUGUCCGGAGUCGUGGCAAACACGUUUUGUGGCACACCGUACUACCUUGCGCCGGAGCUGUGGAACAACCAACGCUACAGCAAAAAGGCAGACGUGUGGUCACUGGGUGUUCUACUGUACGAAAUCAUGGCGCUGAAGCGCCCAUUUACCUCCACCAACAUGAAGGGUCUCAUGGCCAAAGUGCUUAGUGGAGACUACGAGCCGCUCCCCGAGGUGUACUCGGCCGACUUUAGGGAUGUGGUCCGCAAGAUCCUUGUCUGUGAUGCGGCGCAGCGGCCGAGCGUGCGGGACAUUUUCCGGUUCCCCUACGUGCGGGAGGGUCUGAAGGUGUUUAUGCAUACUAUGAAGAAGAAUUCGCGAAUUGACAACGAGGUAAAGGACGCACUGAUGGAGCACGUAACGGAGAUCCUGUCUAGCGAGUCUGUCGAGGUGCCCAAGAGCACCCCUGUCGGUCAGAUCAACAAGGAUGUCUUUUUCUCCGGGUACCUGAACAAGCUGAAGGGCGGCGACAACCACUCAUGGAAGAGGCGGUACCUUCAGGUGCAGAAGGGUCAUUUCAUUAUGUCUGACAAGGAGUCCGACACCGAGGGAAAGGCACUGAGCCUGGAGCACAUUCAGAGUGUGUGCCCGGUCCCUGUGAGUACGGCGAAGCGCGAGCACGUCUUCGCGCUUCACACGACGAGUGGCAAGUCGAUGUGGUUUGAAGCCGCGUCGCUAGAGAACAUGGAGGAGUGGAUUCACGCGAUCCAGUGCGGCCUUGGUGUUGCGUGACGGUGCAGGGGGACAACGAGGGCUGUUUGUUUUUUUUUUCUUUUUGGCGCGAUGUGCUCGGCGCAUACACCAUCCUCUGGCGAAUGCUGGGCUACAGGGUUGUACAGCCAUCACGAUCUCACUGCUGACGACGUGCGAAGCUUUUUUUUUGUUCUCUUUGCCCUGUACUGGUUACCGUUUGCUUCUCCUGUGAACUGCCUCACGCGCCGACGGCUCUCGUAUCUCUCUUACAGAACUGUGUUGGUGGUGAUGAGGUCUGGCAUGUAAAGAUUGGCUGAUGAGUUGCAAAUGUGGACGAGUGAGAAAAGGGAAGGUGGAGGGUUACUGUGGCAUCCAGAUGUUAUACAUCAGGUGCGACUCAGACGGUUUGAUUUCUGGCUCCUUUUCUCUGGUCUUAUAUCCGUAUAUCUGUAUAGUGGUGCUUCGAAUGGCGUGAAUCGAGACCUCUGAAUGAAUUGUCGUGGCGACGCAUUGCGCAAAAUCGACCGUGCACAUGAAAGAACCUGUUUGCUGCAUGCGCGGCGGAUAAUGGCGCUAGGGGGGGGUUUUCUGCCCGCAGCAACUCAGCGCUGUACAGGUGUCUGCUAAUUGCUCUCGUUCUAGCGGCUGCACACACAACCCACUCGGAUAUGAGCA
rnacentral:misc_RNA from 1 species